GACGAACGCUGGCGGCGUGCCUAAUACAUGCAAGUAGAACGCUGAAGCUUGGUGCUUGCACCGAGCGGAUGAGUUGCGAACGGGUGAGUAACGCGUAGGUAACCUGCCUGGUAGCGGGGGAUAACUAUUGGAAACGAUAGCUAAUACCGCAUAAGAGUAGAUAUCGCAUGAUAGCUGCUUGAAAGGUGCAAUUGCACCACUACCAGAUGGACCUGCGUUGUAUUAGCUAGUUGGUGAGGUAACGGCUCACCAAGGCAACGAUACAUAGCCGACCUGAGAGGGUGAUCGGCCACACUGGGACUGAGACACGGCCCAGACUCCUACGGGAGGCAGCAGUAGGGAAUCUUCGGCAAUGGACGAAAGUCUGACCGAGCAACGCCGCGUGAGUGAAGAAGGUUUUCGGAUCGUAAAGCUCUGUUGUAAGAGAAGAACGAGUGUGAGAGUGGAAAGUUCACACUGUGACGGUAUCUUACCAGAAAGGGACGGCUAACUACGUGCCAGCAGCCGCGGUAAUACGUAGGUCCCGAGCGUUGUCCGGAUUUAUUGGGCGUAAAGCGAGCGCAGGCGGUUAGAUAAGUCUGAAGUUAAAGGCUGUGGCUUAACCAUAGUACGCUUUGGAAACUGUUUAACUUGAGUGCAAGAGGGGAGAGUGGAAUUCCAUGUGUAGCGGUGAAAUGCGUAGAUAUAUGGAGGAACACCGGUGGCGAAAGCGGCUCUCUGGCUUGUAACUGACGCUGAGGCUCGAAAGCGUGGGGAGCAAACAGG
rnacentral:rRNA from 1 species